GUUGUCUUCUCUGGUGUUGUGUGAUGAUAUACGCCGCGCUGUGUAAACAUAUACGCGGUGUAAGCAUUACGCCAAAGUGGCUGCAUAUGUAAGUAAUCGCGCGCGAGCCUGCACGGCCCACUGCUUUGCUCGCGCAUAUCGCGUACGUGGGAUGCCGGAUCAAGUGAAAGAAGAGUUCUUCGUGGCCGUGAAAAAAAAUGAAGCCUGUGGCUGACAGGGCGUCGAAGAAUGUGAACCAUCGAUCGUGGACUCAGCCCAACAGUACGAUGCGUGGUGCAAAAGAUGGCUAGUCUUUGGAGGAUUGUGAGCAUGUGGCAGAUGCACACCAGUACGUGUGGAACAGCUCUUCGACGGCAGUGUGCGCUGGUGGUGGACGCAGCAGCAGUAGAGACAGGCAGUUGGUGUGCGCUUUCCUGUCGUGCUACUUCCCCUUCUCCAUGUCUCCUUUACAUCCCUUCAGCCUUUCCCACAAAGGCAUCGAGAUGUGCCCCCACCCAGGAGCCUGGUUGAGAAGCCAGUUUUCGGACACCACCUGGAGCAAGGUGUCCAAAUUUCUACACGUGUUCCACAAGAAUGCAGUCAAAAUUUCAACAAAAGAUGGGCAUGGCACAAAGGAACAGGAAGAAUUUUUUUUUUUUUUGUGGACAAACAAACUGCUGUUAUAAAACCUAAGGCAAAAUGGUAUCGCCUGCCAACAGAGCCACCAGACACACUUUGCUGCAUCUGCCUUUUCAGGAUCAAUAAAGACUUUCCAGGGCUGUGAAAUAUUGAAUAUGUUUGUGAUGUUGCUCCGAAAAAAUA
rnacentral:lncRNA from 1 species